rnacentral:rRNA from 1 species
AUUGAACGCUGGCGGCAUGCCUUACACAUGCAAGUCGAACGGUAACAGGUCUUCGGAUGCUGACGAGUGGCGAACGGGUGAGUAAUACAUCGGAACGUGCCUAGUAGUGGGGGAUAACUACUCGAAAGAGUGGCUAAUACCGCAUGAGAUCUACGGAUGAAAGCAGGGGAUCGCAAGACCUUGUGCUACUAGAGCGGCCGAUGGCAGAUUAGGUAGUUGGUGGGAUAAAAGCUUACCAAGCCGACGAUCUGUAGCUGGUCUGAGAGGACGAUCAGCCACACUGGGACUGAGACACGGCCCAGACUCCUACGGGAGGCAGCAGUGGGGAAUUUUGGACAAUGGGCGAAAGCCUGAUCCAGCAAUGCCGCGUGCAGGAUGAAGGCCUUCGGGUUGUAAACUGCUUUUGUACGGAACGAAAAGCCCUGGGUUAAUACCCUGGGGUCAUGACGGUACCGUAGGAAUAAGCACCGGCUAACUACGUGCCAGCCGCCGCAGUAAUAC